rnacentral:lncRNA from 1 species
GCCCAAAGGAAUAAAAAUAUUUCAUUUGCAUUGCCUGCCGAACAUCGUUUCUUUCCAAACAAAUGAUGCUAUUAGAGUUAUUUGAUCGGAGAAAACCACAAAUAAGAUUGAUAAAAUGAGGGAAAAUAUAAUGAGGCUCCUCAAAAUAAAUUUUAUUACGGCCAACUCUCUAUCAUCUUUUUGUCGUCUAUCGUCGAUGAUGAGCAUCUACAAAACAGCAUCCUCAU